rnacentral:rRNA from 1 species
UACAGAGGGGGCAAGCGUUGUUCGGAAUUACUGGGCGUAAAGGGCGCGUAGGCGGCCUUCUAAGUCAGACGUGAAAUCCCCGGGCUCAACCCGGGAACUGCGUCUGAUACUGGAAGGCUUGAAUCCGGGAGAGGGAUGUGGAAUUCCAGGUGUAGCGGUGAAAUGCGUAGAUAUCUGGAGGAACACCGGUGGCGAAGGCGGCAUCCUGGACCAACACUGACGCUGAGGAGCGAAAGCCAGGGGAGCAAACGGG